rnacentral:lncRNA from 1 species
UAGCACUUACAGCUGCCAUAUUAAGAUUUGAUUUUAGUUUAUGUUCCCUGUUUGUUGUUCUCAUUUUUAUUGUCAUUUGUUUCUCCUUGUGAGUUACAUUUCUGAAGAAUCCAUUUAAUAUAUCUAGUUUUUUAGCAUAUCUUAUUAUUUUUGUAAUAUUGCUCUAUGUAUCACAAUGCACACCUUAUCGAAGUUUAAAGAUAUCACCAAUUUAGCACUUUGAUAUCUAGAAACCUUAGUUGCAUUAGGUCCUUUUUAUGUAUCAAUUAAUAUAAAUUUUUUCAAUGUUUCCUUUUCACAUGCUGAGCAUCAUUUUGUAAGGUGUAAUUUUUGUUUCAAGCACAUUUUACAGAUGUCAGGAGACGUCUUGGGUUACCUCUACAUUUACCUAGUUUACGCAUUCCAUUGUUCAUUAGUCCUUCUUGAAAUGGCAUGCCUUCCGUGGUUCUCAUUUUCUUUCUGAUGAUCUUCCUCUGGCCUUCCUUCUAGGGUAGGUCUGCUGGUGAGAGGUGCUUAUUGCUUUUUUUCAUCUAAAGAUGUCCUUAUAUUCCCUUCAUUCCUGAAUGGUAUUUUCGUUAGAGUCAGGGUUGUCUCUUCUUGCCAGUCAUGUUUAUUUCUUCUGUCCACCAUGGUUUCUGAUGAGAAAUCUGCUGCUAUUUGAACUGUUGUUUCCCUAGUUCAUGAUGUGCCAUUUCCACCAAACUUUGUUUAAAAUGUUUUUCUUUUUAAUGUUUAGAGUUAUGAAGUCUCUGACAUGGAAUUUUUAAUCUUAAUUUGCUAUUCAUUCAUCUUCAGCUUUCUUAUUUGUAGGUUUAUGCUCUUUGGCAAAUUUGGGAGAUUUUUAUCAUUACUUCAAAUAUUUUUUCAUCCUCAUUCUUUCUGUUCUCUUACAUGAACCUCAGUAACAUGAAUGGUAGAGCUUUUGUUAUUGUCUGUAGGUCUCUCAGGCUCUUAUUCUUUUUCCAAUCUCUUUUUUCUUUUCUUCACAUUAAUUUCAUUUGCUUUUCUUUGUGUUUGUGUUUGUUUGUUUGUUUUCCGGUACCAGGGAUGGAACUCAGGACCUUGUGCUUUCCAGGCAGACGCGGUGCUCCUAAACUACAUCCCUGGCCCUUCCUUGCUUUUCUUUACACUCAACUGAUUUUGUUUGUUUGUUUUUGUUUUUUUGGUCAUAGCUGAUCUGCUGUUGAACUUGUGAGUUUUUCUUUUUGUUUUUGUAUGUUUCAAUGACUUAAUUUCCAUUUGGUUGUUUUUUAUAUCUUACACUUCUUUGCUAAGUUUAUAAUGCCAAAGGAGGACUUGAGAGAAAUAUACAAACCUGUGCAUUCCAGUUGUGGGUUUUUUGGUUGUUUCUCUCACUGAUUGAAUAGAACUGCUAAAUUACCUGGAGGAGUGGAAGUCCUAUGAUUUAUAUUGGGAUCAACAAGUAUUUCUAUGACCUGAUUUUAUAGUUUAGAAAGAUCUGCAGAUUUUUCAGAGUUGUGUUCUUUAGGUAAGGUUUGUAUAUAAAAUUCUCAGCACUCUAAGCAUUGUUAUAUCUUUAAUGAACGUAAUCUCUCCUAGUCUCAAAUUCCCCUUGCCUUUUGUGGCUGGACACAUACUCCUCCUUUACCCAUUCCUCUUUCAUACUGUUUUUUUGUUUAGAAAGGGUUUCAAUGUGUAGUACAGGCUGGUCUUGAGCUCACUGUGUAGCCCAGGUUGGCCUCAAAUUCACAAUUGAUCCUUCUGCUUCAGCUUCCUGAGUGCUGGGAUUACAGAUGCAGACCUCAUGCUGAUGAGGGCGGAAAGGACAGCGUUCCCACCUCCGUAGGGGGUGAGCUGGGCUGAUCUUUCUCUUCUGUGUCACCACUGGGUUCUCAACCAGGACGUCUCCGGCUGGUGUCACCUUGCUGUUGAGCACCGCAGCUCCACAGACCAUUGAGGCCUCAGCUGUUACCGGAGGGAUAGUGGAGUUAUGUUUCUGCAUUCCAUAGCCGCUCUCAGGGAUUGAACUCGGGACCUUGGCGUUUUCGAGGCAGGCGGCAAUGGCACCACUGAGCUAAAUCCCCGGCCCUAUGAGUGAGAUAAACACUUUUCAACUAAAAAAAGAAGAAGGAGCUGAGCAUGGCCAAGCGAUGAAAGAAUGUGAAAGUUUCUUUGUCUUACUGUACCUUUUCCUUGCAAUAAAAGCCCUUGCACAGUUCACUACUCCUAUUGCAAUGCUAAUGUUACUGAUCUUCUCUUCUUGGUGUUCAACAACUAGUUUGGAGACCAAAACUAAAAAGGUAACUGGGCUAUGAGGACAGCCAAUAUUUUAGCCCUGGCCCCUCAAGGUCAACAAAGAUCCAAGACAUAAGGGAACCUUCUCUACAGGAUCCUACCUCUUUGGAGCAGUUGGAGGUCUUUACCAAUCAGACAGUCGGUGAACUCAUUAUGGCCAGUUAUCAACCUUUUGCCACAGGAGACCACGCCAUCAUCACGUAGGACCCAGACCUGUUACCCUUUAUCACUGCCUCUGUGCUCACAGGAAGCAGCUACAAUAAAGAGACCUCUGCCCUUACUCCAUAAUAAUAUCAAGAGUCUGGAAUGAUAGAGUUCUCUGCUAGGUAAAAUGGCCCUGAGAACCCUGCAUCCUAAAAUGGCCCCUACCUACAGGAAACAAGUCACCUCCUUUUUUCCACCUCGCCCCCAGCCGUAGCCAAUCAUCUGCCACUACCACACUCCCCCAGCCCUUAUAAACCUCACCCAGCCAACCCCUGGUUGCUAUUCUCGCCAUUGUUCGAGACAGCCUGGCAGCUCUGCCCCUUAAUAAAAGCUUUAGCUUGGGUGUUCACAUUUUGGCUCAUUUUAUUUCUCUCAAUGAUAACCAGAAAAAGUGAUACCUUGGUUGUCGAAUGGUUCUAAAAAUUGAACUUUCCACUACUUGAAAAGCAAAGUUAAAAAAAAAAUCUGUUUGGUUUUGGUAACUUUGCUCCAUAGUCAAACCGAAAAUCCAAUAGGCUGAGAGUGAGGCAUGUGUCCUAUCUCCCUGUGAACACAAAGGGUGUCAUUUCGGUUUAAGCACCCCUCUUGCCCAGACUACAGGCA